AAUAACAACAUAAUUUCAAGGGGAAAUCAGCAACAGAUAAUUAAAUGCUGACAGAGGAGAGUUUAUUGAAAAUUGCUGAUGGACGCAAAAUUGUGUUACUCAAAAUCACGCAAAUUGAAAUAAGUUUGUUCCACAUGAUGGCCCACUUACAUUUUCUUUGAUACAACAAGGGUUGUAUGUUCAACGUCUAAAACUACUGAAUCCCACGCUGCAGUCACGAAUGCUUUUAUAUGAUCCCUCGCUGAAAUCUUUGGUUGUUAGUUUACUUCGCUGCCCAAACCCGCUCGCGCGCUGGCUUGUUGACAAGUCGCUGGCCGAAGAACCCCAGCGGCCUCGGUGUAUCAAAUGGCUUUUUAUUGGGCUUGCGCCGCUGACGUAAAUUUAUGUAGGUCAGGCACAGCUUUUAUUAUUUGCACUGGUAUGUUGGGUAUUGGUUUUACACAGCGCGAAGUGUCUAUUACGGGUAGACUAGUUCUUUUCACUGCACAGCACACAAAGUAUUUAUAGAAUAAAAUGGUCCGAUAAACGUUGGGCGCCAAUUAAUAUUUAAA